rnacentral:rRNA from 1 species
UAGUCUGGGAAACUGCCUGAUGGAGGGGGAUAACUACUGGAAACGGUAGCUAAUACCGCAUAACGUCGCAAGACCAAAGUGGGGGACCGUUCGGGCCUCAUGCCAUCAGAUGUGCCCAGAUGGGAUUAGCUAGUAGGUGGGGUAAAGGCUCACCUAGGCGACGAUCUCUAGCUGGUCUGAGAGGAUGAUCAGCCACACUGGGACUGAGACACGGCCCAG